rnacentral:lncRNA from 10 species
CAUAAGGCUUGGCAAUAGUGGCGGCCAAAUAAUACUUGCUUAGUUCUCCCCUCCCUCUCUAUUCCAUUGGUCUAUUAUUGUUGUUGUUGUUAAAAAUUUUCCCUCCCUCCCCUCCGCCACUCCCAUCUAAUUUGAAGCUCCUCAAGAAUGGAAGCUGUCUUCUUGUUCAUCAGAUGGUUAUCUAAAUGGACAGGAAGUUUAUUCUGCUUAAGGAGAAAUUCUACUUUCCUGCAGUCUGUGGGCCCUCGCUCACCACCCAGGGGUGGUUUCUGGGUGUGGCAGGCCUAGCUAAGGGUUUCCCAUCAGCCUAUCCUGUGCAGGGAAUCACCCAUCACCUGGGCUGUGCAGAGGCUAAAGUCCCUUCCUGAUCAAUCCAUCACUGCCCAGAGCCUGCCUCACUCCUGACCCCAGCAGGCUGUUAAAAGGGGGCCCAUGUCCCUUUGGUCUCUAAGUGUCCACUUUGCUAUUAGCAGAGAACAGACAUUCAGAGGAGAGGGGCUCCCCACCACCCCCAGGUGGUGCCAAGUCUGCCCUAGGAUGCUAGGAGAAGUCUAGAGCUAAGCCUCUGUCCUCUCUAACCCAUUCCUGCCAUUACACAGCCCUAAAAUCAUUAGGGUCGGAGAAGGGAACCCCUGCCCUGGCCUUGCCUUCAGAAGCCCCAUUGCUUUGAAACAACAUGCUAGAAAAAUUUUAAAUACCUUCAUCUGUGCCUGGGAUGAGUCUGGUGGGGUGUUUGAGCCAAGUGGGAAUUCCCAUGGACCCGGUCCAGGUUCCUCCUGUUCAGGGCACUUUCUGAAUGUCUAAUUGCAAAUAUUCACAUGUGGGGUCAAUCUGCCACCUAGCUUCCAGGAAGGUGGCCAAGAAGUUGACUGCUCCCACUGUAGGUAUAACUGUAUGAGGUUCUGCAGCCAGAAUGGUGCUGACACCUUGAUUUGGGGUAAUUCUCACAGCAGACAUAGGACAGUGUAGCUCUGGCUACAGAGAGUCCCCUGCAGACCCUGGGCUUAGCGACACAUGUAAGCCAUGCAAGUAUUCUCUACCAUUCAUGUAGAGAAUCAGUUCCUAAGAAUGGUGGGCCCCCAACUCCGACACCUGGGUUGGCUACCCCAUCCCCUCCAUAGGUUCCACAUCAGGUGUCAGGAGCGGUCACACAUGUCUUCUUCACGGGCUCCCUAGACCACGGCUCUGUAUCACCACAGGGACUCACAUGUCCUCUCCUGCCUCAGGAGAUGUGAUAGUCUUGCCCUCCCAGGUCAGUCCUAUGGCACAUGAGGCAAGGGAUGAACAUGGCUUGCACUAAAGGGACAUCUCAUUUGUCUUCCUCUGGCCAUAGAAACUCACCUAUGCUCCCUGUGGUAGUUACAUGGAAGGUAGAGGCCAAUCAACACUAAAAGCAAUCACAUUCUAUAAAUGCAGCAAUUGCAAUCUACAGAGUUCAAAAGAAGACACGGUGGGAAGAUGGGUUGUUCUACUUUUUAACCCAUUCAAUUUGGAACAGUAAAUUUAACACACAGAGAACAUUAAUCAUCAUAGUCUUGGUCUGCAUACAUUGGGUAAGACUUGGAUUUGUGGUCAUUAUUAACAAAGCUCAGUGGCAACCUCUUAGAGUCAUUGGAAGGUGAUGCAGCUGUGUAAGUAAUGCUGUAAUCAGCAUUAAUAGUUAGAGUUAGGAGACAGCAGCUGGGUGAAGAUCUAUAUUGUUUCAAAGCAAACAGGUUAAGAAGGAGCCAUGGCAGUGUAAGGAAUAAUUGUUGCUAUUUUUUUUUCUUGCAGCAGAAAUGUAAAAUUAACAAGGAAUUGUUCACCUGAUGAAAAGGAACAUGGAGAGAUGGUUCUUGAAUCUGAAUAGGAGGAGAUCGUGCCUGGACACACUAGGAAGAAUCUUCUGCAUUGAUUUGAUUAAAAAACAACUAUGU